UACGUAGGGUGCGAGCGUUAAUCGGAAUUACUGGGCGUAAAGCGCACGUAGGCGGCUUGUUAAGUCGGAGGUGAAAUCCUGGAGCUCAACUCCAGAACUGCCUUCGAUACUGGCGAGCUUGAGUUCGGGAGAGGUGAGUGGAACUGCGAGUGUAGAGGUGAAAUUCGUAGAUAUUCGCAAGAACACCAGUGGCGAAGGCGGCUCACUGGCCCGAUACUGACGCUGAGGUGCGAAAGCGUGGGGAGCAAACAGG
rnacentral:rRNA from 1 species